AUUCUUGGGGUAAGGAACGGUUGUCUUAAGGUCACUGAAGAUUAAACGUUUCUGUUUUUUUUUUUUUUUUUUUUUAAUGGCCAGGAUGAUUGCAUCUAUAGAAGUUCUCUCAUUGCAAGUCCCUUUGUUUCACAAGAGUAUAAGGACAGCAUAUCCAAGCCACAACUUAACUCCUUUGAAGAAUCAGGGGCCAAACUUGCAGCCAGAAGCUCAGGACACUUGUAGGGAAGUUACUCUUUGGUUCUUAUCUAAGAGCUCACCAACACUGAAGUUGGAUUAAAAAAAAAAAAAAUCUAUCUGAGUUGUCAUCUGUGUCAGUUGUCACAAAGGCCUUUUUUGAAAGGAUAAUUCCAAUUCUGUCCUGUUUGCAUAUUGUGAUUUCCUAGUCUCAGCAGUUCCUGCCAAAGCUCAGUCCUUAAGCUGAUGCCAGCGAUCCAGUGCUAAAUGUGUGUACUAAAGAAAACAUGUGGCUCUUGUGCUCCUUGGAAUGGUUGAUGCUGUAACCAAAACAUGAUGUGAACCAUAGUAUCCCUUGUCUGAACAGACACACAAAAGGCUCAAGAAUCUUUGCAGUCAGUAUCAGUGGCCAGAUUUAAGAAGUCACUAAGUGUCAGAAUUUCUUCCCACUUGUGCUGAAGAAUCUGAACCUCUUACAUCGUCAACAGGCAUUCUACAGCUCUCCUGAGUCACCAAGACCAGCAAAGCUGCUGCUAGAGAGAAUUCGCUUACUUUCUUCAGUGUCUCAGUCAGUGUCAAGCAAUAAUUAGAAUUUUGAGCAUUUGCAAAGAAAACUCACACUUCAUGAAAACUUUAUUUCAUGCUGUGAGCACGAAAUAGACAAUGAACAUGUAGAUCAGCACUUCUACAAGACGAGUGAAUGGAGGUGUGUUACUUCAAACUCUGUAAAUAAAAGUUGCUUAUUGGCUUACAAACACUGAAACAAAUCCAAGACACUUUCUCUGCAUGUCUUUGGUCUGUCGUUGUAUUAUGCAACGAACAACUUGGCUGUGUUCUGCGUGAUACUGUUGAAUGACAAGUUUUAAACAGUCUAUCUUGUUUAAAGCUGUUAUCUUUAUGAGGCUUAUGCAAAAUUUGACCAUAUUUCUGCCUUUCAAAAGUGAAAUAAAUUAUUCUCUGGAAAAACAAGUGCACAUAAACUUAGCUACCACUACCUUCUGAUUUGUUUUCUUGAAUCUUGAGAGAGAACUGAUGGUCCUGUUUUCCAAAUCCACAAAUUUAUUUCACUUUCAUCUUCUGAAUUAUCUAGCUCUGUUUCUUUUCCUCAGUCUCUUUAUUUCCACAGGUUUUUAUGCUUAUUUAUUCUAAAUAUGUUAAGUAACUUGUAAAGGACUUCUUAAAAUGGAUUUUCAGUAUUUUCUGAUGAAGAAAAACCCAACUUGAAGUGCUGAUCUUCAAACAAAGAAUGAUGGAAUGUCUUGAAUUUGCUACAGCAUCACUCAGGAGUAUGAAAGAUGUCCAUAACAGACAAGGUUUUGAUUUAAACAAAUAGCAUGAUGAUCUUUAUCAAGAAGAGGCUUUAAUUCAAAGAAAAAUAUGGAUGAGAAGUAAGUGCUUUUUUUUCUUUAAGAUAUCUUGGAGCUCUUCAGCAUUGUACAGGUUAAUAUAUGACAUGAUAUUUCAAGUAUUAAGGUUAAAGCUGCCCAUUAAUGAUGUGUAAUGAAUAUCCAUUUUUUUUAUUCCUAUAUGGGAACAGGAAGAAAAUGAAUGAAGGUUGACUGUAAGAAUGACAUUAAUCAAUCAUUAAGAAUAUCCUUUAUUAAUAUGACCUGAAAAAUAUAUCAUAUGCCACCAAAGUAUAUAAACCACUUAAGAUAUUCUGCAGUUAUAACAAAAUCAGUAACAGACUGCUUACAAAUACUUUCUCAGCCAACACAGACACUUUUGAGCAUUUAUACAUUUUACUGGAGCACUGGAAAAACAAAUCCCCAUCUUUUAACUUGCUCUGCAUAACUACAGAUACAUAGAAUCACAUGUCCACAGAUGCCUCUUCCUAUCACUCCAAAAUCAAAGUUUACAAGGCAGCUAUGUUUUUUGAUCCUGAAGGUCUCAAUCUGAUUGCAUGACUAGACUUCUGUCCCAGGGAGCGUGCCCUGGCAGAAAGGUCUGCUUUUGCAGAUAUUGCUGUUCCACAAGUGUCCGAUGAUUUAUAACAUGUUGGAAAAAAAAAAAAAACUGCCUCAAAUGCAGUCAGUCAAUGGAGUCUUCCCGUACUUUUCAAGGGUGCCAGGAUCAAGGGUGCCUUGGUUUCAAUAUGCCAUAUCAAUAGUAAAACUAUAAAGGAAUAUUUUGUCCAUUUGGAGAAUGUAGUGAUGAGAAAUAAGGGCAAGCCCUAUGAUCCACCUCUAACUACUGGCUGGAAAUGUAUUACUUCCAAAAGCAAAAUCCCUCCUUAAUAGUUAUUCAAGUCACUCCUUUCCCCUUUUUUUAAUAUACCUAGUGCAAAUUGAUUAGAAUAUCCUAAGCAAAAAUUUAAGUGCAGUCUCUGCAUUCCUCAGCAAAGAAAGGCUAAAAAUUUAACAAAGCACAGAAUAAUGACAUCCAAAAAAAAAAAAAAAAAAAAAAGAGAGAGAGAAGUUUACUUUUGGUGCCUCAAACUGCACAUUAUCAAGUGAUCAUCAGCACAGACUACAUUUGGAGACUCUGAGUAUCAGUUCAGGAAUUUCUGCUUGAACAUAGUUUCUAACUCUGUUAGUUUCAUCCAUUUCUAUACAUUGUAGUCUCUGCUUAUUCCUAAGUUGAAUAGUUCAAAUUUGAGAGUUCAAGUUGCAAUGUUAAAAAAGAAGUCAUAGUUGAGUUUUGGCUUUUAUGGUUAAAGAAAACCCUGAGUAUAUUGAAAAAUUGACUGUAGGUAUCCUGUAUCAGCUGUAUAAAUUAUAGUACUUAAGUGUUGUGUGUAAGUGCUGCAACCCCAACUGGAUCUGUGACUUAAUAAAACACAUUUAGAACCUUAUUUUGAAUUAAGCCUUGAUUCAGAUUUUCUUUAUCCUACAACACUGAUAGUUAAUGUCUAAUAAUGAGUUGCUUGCAAGAAAACGACAAACAUCUACUGUUAUUUUUGAAACUUAUAGCAGAUGCAGAAACAUGAUUAAUACGUUGGUGCAAAAUUGCUCUUGUAUAAUUGAAGAAAACUGCUUAUAUGUAACCAGAAACUACUGAAGUGGUAUGAAAAUAUAUAAAAAUCUAAAUACAAAAUACCUUGUUCAUUUAGUAAAAAAUUCCAGAGAAAAUGUGGUAUCAGUGAAACUUGUCUUAAAUGACCAAUAAAAAAAUGCUGUUUAAAUGGAG